rnacentral:lncRNA from 1 species
GAGAGAAGAGUCCCGGAGGAAGAGGGCGAAGGAAGAGAGCGACGCUCCCUAAACUGACCCCUCUCCAGGGCGGACUUGGAAGGGAUGUUGCUAUAAUGGGGAGCGGAUAGGCAGGAAGUCUUGAGGGUAUCUGUGGGUGUCCUCCUUGCUCCAAAUUUUCCAGCCAUGCCUUUCACAUCAGAAGGAACAAACGCGGGAGGGGGAUUCUCUAGUGGUCAUAAAAAGGAAUGCCACGCCACUCCGAUGUCAAAGGGCAGGGGUUCAGGAAAUGCGGGGGAUGUGGGCACCACGGGGUUAAUCCCCAACCGUCCCCAGGGGCCUCCCUGCUCAGGCUGGGGGCUUUGGGGCAGGAAGUCCCAGAGAGAGUAGAGGAAGGGAGAUAGUAUUGUCAGGCUCUGGCCCCAUGGGAGAGAUUAUGGGGGGCCAGGGGAGGGAAGAAUAGGGGGGAUGGUUGGGCCCCCCUGCCCACACUGGCCCCGCCCUCAGGUGAGCCCAGGAGUUCGGGGGAGGCCCCGGCCAGACCAAAUCCCUGGGUCCCUUGGGCCGCCACCCCCAGGAUUAAAUUCCUGGGAAGAUAGCUGGAAUUAUCUGGGAAGCCUGGGUCCCUAGGGAAGAGGGCUAUGACCUUGAAGCUUUCCAGCUCCCCCUCCUCCAACCCCAAGGCUCCGGGUGGAUAGGGGGACGGUGAGCAAAGGGGGAGGGGCCGUGGUGGGGAAGGCAGCCGGCCUACAGCGCUUGGUGCCCGCCCCCCACACCAGCUGUCUCGACAGGUGAGUCAGGAAGACAAAGGCCCCCUUCCCCCAGCUGCCGCGCCCCCUCCCUCUCCAGGGCCGCGCAGGUGGGGGAGCCGGGCCGCCCUUAUGGCCGGAGGCGGGGAGCCGCCCUCUGCUCCGAGCGCCCGCUCGGUCCUAGGCACGGCCAGUUAAGCAGAUUGUGUGCGGAGCGACGGGGAAGGGGGGGGUCCCACCAGACUCUGGAGGCUGCGUCCAGGUCCCUGGAUCGGUUCACACCAGCCUCCUCCACAGGAAGACCUAAGUGACCCCCAAAAUCCAGGGGAUUAAGAAGUACCCCCGAAGUUAUGGAGCGCGGUCCCACUUGGGGAGACUUUUUCCAGCACCAAGUAAACGGGGGACCUGCACACCCAGGGUCUGAGUCUCAGUCUCUCUUCCAAGUCCCAGGGUAUCCCAAAUCGGUCCCCCACAAUCCUUCCCGGACCUCGAGCUGAAGUCUGGGGGGAGGGGGAGGAGAGUCUGAGCCCUGCCUCAAUCCUGGCAUCCCUGCGGGGAGUCGCUGCCAACUUUGAGGUCCUCUAAAAAAAGUCUUAACAAUUCGGGAGUCCUCCGAGCGCCCCCAAAUCUUGAGGGCUCCCAGGAGAACCUCACCGCCACCACCCCCCGAGCUUGGGGAGUCAGUCGUGGAGAAGUGAUCGACGGUUCUGGGGCGCGUCCAAGGGGAUUCAGCUCAAAUCCGAGGCUCCCAAGGAUCUGUCCCCAAAUUCCAGCCCGGAGCUAGCUGGGGGGG